CAGGUACAGCGGGAAGCCAGGCGGCGACGCCGAGCGGAACCCGAAAACCUGUCUCAGUUCGGACCGGAGUCUGNAACCCGACUCCGUGAAGCUGGAUUCGCUAGUAAUCGCGCAUCAGCCAUGGCGCGGUGAAUACGUUCCCGGGCCUUGUACACACCGCCCGUCAAGCCAUGGAAGCCGGGGGUGCCUGAAGUGUGCAGCCGCAAGGAGCGCCCUAAGGUAAAACCGGUGACUGGGGCUAAGUCGUAACAAGGUAAC
rnacentral:rRNA from 1 species